GAUCAUGGCUCAGGAUGAACGCUGGCGGCGUGCCUAAUACAUGCAAGUCGAGCGGAGAAUUUAGCAAUAGAUUCUUAGCGGCGAACGGGUGAGUAACGCGUUGGUGACCUGCCUCGAAGUUUGGGAUAACAGUUCGAAAGGACUGCUAAUACCGGAUGUGAUCGCGGAGAUUAGAGGCUCUGUGAUUAAAGGAGAAAUUCGCUUCGAGAGGGGCCUGCGUCCCAUCAGCUAGUUGGUAAGGUAAAGGCUUACCAAGGCGAUGACGGGUAGAGGACCUGAGAGGGUGGCCCCCCACAAUGGAACUGAAACACGGUCCAUACACCUACGGGUGGCAGCAGUAGGGAAUAUUGCAUAAUGGGCGAAAGCCUGAUGCAGCAACGCCGCGUGUGCGAUGAAGGCCUUCGGGUCGUAAAGCACUUUUGGAGGGGAUGAGGAAGGACAGUACCCUUCGAAUAAGCUUCGGCUAACUACGUG
rnacentral:rRNA from 1 species